rnacentral:rRNA from 1 species
AUACAGAGGGUGCAAGCGUUAAUCGGAUUUACUGGGCGUAAAGCGCGCGUAGGUGGCUAAUUAAGUCAAAUGUGAAAUCCCCGAGCUUAACUUGGGAAUUGCAUUCGAUACUGGUUAGCUAGAGUAUGGGAGAGGAUGGUAGAAUUCCAGGUGUAGCGGUGAAAUGCGUAGAGAUCUGGAGGAAUACCGAUGGCGAAGGCAGCCAUCUGGCCUAAUACUGACACUGAGGUGCGAAAGCAUGGGGAGCAAACAGGAUUAGAUACCCUGGUAGUCCAUGCCGUAAACGAUGUCUACUAGCCGUUGGGGCCCUUGAGGCUUUAGUGGCGCAGCUAACGCGAUAAGUAGACCGCCUGGGGAGUACGGCCGCAAGGUUGAAACUCAAAUGAAUUGACGGGG